rnacentral:lncRNA from 1 species
ACUGAGGGUCUCUUCCUGUUAAGGACUGCAAUCUUGUAAGCUGCAGCUGUCUCAGUCCCAUCAGCAGGGCGAAGCAUCAAAAUGUUGGGCAUAGCCCGAAAACUUGCCAAGUGCUCUAUAGGCUGAUGUGUAGGUCCAUCUUCUCCAAGCCCAAUUGAAUCGUGUGUCAUAACAUAGAUGACUCCAGCUUCACACAAGGCAGAAAUCCUCAUGGCAGGUCUCAAGUAGUCAGUGAAAACAAAGAAAGUUGCACAAUAUGGAAUAAGGCCGGGGCAGUGAAGGACAAUCCCAUUGCAGAUGGCUCCCAUUCCAUGCUCCCGAACACCAAACCUGACAUUGCGCUCUUCUGGUGUGCCCUUUUGGAAGUUCCCAAACUGCUUCAUCACCGACAGGUUGGAGGAAGCAAGAUCAGCACUGCCACCAAGCAGACCAGGGAGAACAUUUGCAAGGGCAUUUAGACAUUGUUGUGAUGAAUUUCUCGUGGCUUCUGCUGGGCUCUCUGGAGUAUACGUCUAUAUCAAAGCAAGAAAAUUACCUUAAAAAUCAUCUAUAUUCCAAUAUAUAACAGCAUCCGUAUUGACAUUUUCAAAUAUGUCCAAAUGCAAAAUUUCCAAAUGACCAUAAAACUAAAAAAUGAAAAAUAAAAUUGCAAAGAAAACCGAAACAAUUAAAUCACUACUUACCGGAAGUGCCUUCUCCCAACCUGCAGGUAAUUCACCAUUGAUGAGAGACUUCAAUACUGCAGCUUCUUCUUUAUACUUGCGUUCGUAUUCAGCAAACUGGGCAUUCCAUUCAGCUUCCAGAGCUGCACCUUCAGGGACAUGGCGGCUCCAAUGCCUAAGGAACAAAAGCAAACCAAUUCAUCAAGCAAUCAUCCAUAAGCUCAAUCCAAGAAGUGAAGCAAGAAAAUUUAUGUCUUUUGUUAAUGCCCUUACUUCUUGACAUCCUCGGGUACAUGGAAAGGCUCAUAUGGCCAUCGAAGGUUCUUCCUUGUGGCAUCCAACUCCUUAGGACCUAGUGCACUUCCAUGUACACUGUAUGA